rnacentral:SRP_RNA from 1 species
UCAUAGAGAGCAAAUAACCUCAAAUUAUUUCAUGAUCUAAGGUGGCUGAAGUGCGAGGAUCGUUUGAGCCCAGGAGUUCUGGGCUGUAGUGCACUACGUGGGUGUCCACUAAGUUCGGCAUCAAUAUGGUGACCUCCCAGGAGCGGGGACCACCAGGUUGCCUAAGGAGGGGUGAACCAGCCCAAGUAGGAAACGGACCAGGUCAAAACUCCCGUGCUGAUCAGUAGUGGGAUCGCGCCUGUGAACAGCCACUGUACUCCAGCCUGGGCAACACAGUGAGACCCAUAUUU